rnacentral:rRNA from 1 species
GCUAAACGCGAAGAACCUUACCUACCCUUGACAUGCCAGGAACCUCGCAGAGAUGUGAGGGUGCCCGAAAGGGAACCUGGACACAGGUGCUGCAUGGCUGUCGUCAGCUCGUGUCGUGAGAUGUUGGGUUAAAGUCCCGCAACGAGCGCAACCCUUGCCAUUAGUUGCUACAUUCAGUUGGGCACUCUAAUGGGACUGCCGGUGACAAACCGGAGGAAGGUGGGGAUGACGUCAAGUCCUCAUGGCCCUUAUGGGUAGGGCUUCACACGUAAUACAAUGGCGCAUACAGAGGGCUGCAAACCCGCGAGGGGGAGCCAAUCCCAAAAACUCAUCUCAGUUCGGAUUGCAGGCUGCAACUCGCCUGCAUGAAGCUGGAGUUGCUAGUAAUCGCGAAUCAGAAUGUCGCGGUGAAUACGUUCCCGGGUCUUGUACACACCG